rnacentral:rRNA from 1 species
GCCCUUCGGGGUACUCGAGUGGCGAACGGGUGAGUAACACGUGGGUGAUCUGCCCUGCACUUUGGGAUAAGCCUGGGAAACUGGGUCUAAUACCGAAUAUGACCAUGCGCCUCCUGGUGUGUGGUGGAAAGCUUUUGCGGUGUGGGAUGGGCCCGCGGCCUAUCAGCUUGUUGGUGGGGUAAUGGCCUACCAAGGCGACGACGGGUAGCCGGCCUGAGAGGGUGACCGGCCACACUGGGACUGAGAUACGGCCCAGACUCCUACGGGAGGCAGCAGUGGGGAAUAUUGCACAAUGGGCGCAAGCCUGAUGCAGCGACGCCGCGUGAGGGAUGACGGCCUUCGGGUUGUAAACCUCUUUCAGCACAGACGAAGCGCAAGUGACGGUAUGUGCAGAAGAAGGACCGGCCAACUACGUGCCAGCAGCCGCGGUAAUACGUAGGGUCCGAGCGUUGUCCGGAAUUACUGGGCGUAAAGAGCUCGUAGGUGGUUUGUCGCGUUGUUCGUGAAAACUCACAGCUUAACUGUGGGCGUGCGGGCGAUACGGGCAGACUUGAGUACUGCAGGGGAGACUGGAAUUCCUGGUGUAGCGGUGGAAUGCGCAGAUAUCAGGAGGAACACCGGUGGCGAAGGCGGGUCUCUGGGCAGUAACUGACGCUGAGGAGCGAAAGCGUGGGGAGCGAACAGGAUUAGAUACCCUGGUAGUCCACGCCGUAAACGGUGGGUACUAGGUGUGGGUUUCCUUCCUUGGGAUCCGUGCCGUAGCUAACGCAUUAAGUACCCCGCCUGG